rnacentral:rRNA from 1 species
CACGUAGGGUGCGAGCGUUGUCCGGAAUGAUUGGGCGUAAAGCGUCCGCAGGUGGCUAUGUAAGUCUGCUGUUAAAGAGUGAGGCUCAACCUCAUAAGAGCAGUGGAAACUACAUGGCUAGAGUGCGUUCGGGGCAGAGGGAAUUCCUGGUGUAGCGGUGAAAUGCGUAGAUAUCAGGAAGAACACCGGUGGCGAAAGCGCUCUGCUAGGCCGCAACUGACACUGAGGGACGAAAGCUAGGGGAGCGAAUGGG